GUCCAUGCCAGUGUUUAGCCCCUAAGCCCUGAAGACCCAGCAACAGCACAUCUCUAUGAGUCACUAGCCUGGGUACCUCCUUUACUGACUAGGGGUCAGACCCACUCUCUCCCUCAGGGGAUGAAAGCGGUCCACUCUAUACAUGCCAGUGUUCAACCUCUUAUCCCUGAAGACCCAGCAACAUCACAGCUUUAUGAGUUGCUAACCUGGGUACCUACUUUCGUGAAUGGGGGUCAGACCCAAUCGCUCCCUCAGGGGAUGAAAACAGUCCAUUGCAUACAUGCCAGGGUUCAGACUCUAAUCCCUGAAGACCCAGCAACAGCAUAUCUCUAUGAGUCGCUAGCCUGGGUAACCCCUGUAGUGACUGGGGGUCUGACCUAACUCUCCCUCAGGGGAUGAAUGUGGUCCACAGUAUACCUGAGGCCCGGCCAGGGUUCAGCCUCUUACCCCUGAAGACCAAUCUCUAUGAGUCGCCAGCCUGGGUACCCACUUUUGUGACCGGGGGUCAGAUCCAAUUGCUCCCUCAGGGGAUUAAAGCAGUCCGUUGUAUGCAUGCCAGGGUUCAGCCUCUUAUCCCUAAAGACUCAUCUCUCUGAGUCGCAAGCCUGGGUACCCCUUUUAGUGAACGGGGUUCUGAUCCAACUCUCUCUCUCCUACUGGAUGACAGUGGUCCACUGCAUACAUGAGGUCAAACCAGGGUUCAGCCUCUUAUCCCUGACGACCCAAUAAACAGCACUUCUAUAAGGUGACUACCUGGGUAUGCUGUAGGUUUGUUUAAAACCUUCCCCCACUGGUGGUGACGAAUAGCAUGUUAUUUCUAACAAAUAGGUGAUAUUUAGGAGGUUUUAGUGGUGAGCAUUUAAGAAAGUUUAUACAUGCAACGAAGCAAUUUACAAAAGAGCACUGAUAAUGCAACAAUGCA